GCACAUUCAGUGUAAUGUUGGCUGUGGGUUUGUCAUGGCUAGCUCUCAUCAUUUUGGCACUUCUGACUAGAAGGGCAAGAGGGGCCAGUGUUGUUGUUACCUGAAAGGUAAGUGCAGCCCACAAAAAUGCAGUGAAGAAGAAGAUGUAUUAUGCAUAUGUUUAAGUUAAUACAAUUGAGAUAUAUUUAGCAGACAGAAUCAAUAGAGUUGAUGAGUGACUGACUGGAUGUGUGGGGAGUUUAUAUCACUCCCAGGUUUUUGACUUGGGCAACCGGGCACUCAUGAAGGAAAAAGGGGAUCCAGGGAGAGGAACUUUUCUGAGGACUGGGGUAGGGCUGAACAGCUGCAUUCGAGGCUGGUGGAGGGUGGGCUGGGCAUGGGAUGCACAAAUGGAAAUUCCACUGGGUCUGCAGCUCACACAUAGGCAUGACCAGCAUAGAGAUAGAGAGGCCCCAGUGCUGCUGAGUAACUGUGAUUCCCCAGGUGAUGGCAUCAGCUGAGAAGGGAAGGAAGCCCAUGAGAGGACACUGAAGAAGGAGUGAGCAGACAAUAAGAAGCCCACAGAAGACAGAGAAGGAACAACUAGAGGGAGAAGCCAAGUUUCUCCACAGACACUACCCAAAGCAGUGCUUCACUACAGUGGCAGACAGACCUGAAAAUUUUCAUCUGAAGCAGCAGAGUGAACUGCAGAGGCAGGUCACCAACCAGUGUGGAGGCUAAAAGCGGGCCUCUUUGGGGAUUCCAGGUGGAAGUGUUGGACAUCUGUAGUAUUCCUGGUCUCGAAUCAUCCUGAUAU
rnacentral:lncRNA from 10 species